rnacentral:rRNA from 1 species
ACUCAAAUGAAUUGACGGGGGCCCGCACAAGCGGUGGAGCAUGUGGUUUAAUUCGAAGCAACGCGAAGAACCUUACCCAGGCUUGACAUCCCGGGAACCCGGCGGAAACGUCGGGGUGCCCCCUCACGGGGGAGCCCGGAGACAGGUGCUGCAUGGCUGUCGUCAGCUCGUGCUGUGAGGUGUUCGGUUAAGUCCGGCAACGAGCGCAACCCCUGCCGUUAGUUACCAGCAUUCAGUUGGGGACUCUAGCGGGACUGCCGGUGACAAACCGGAGGAAGGUGGGGAUGACGUCAAGUCCUCAUGGCCCUCAUGUCUGGGGCUACACACGUGCUACAAUGGCGCCUACAGAGGGCUGCGAAGUCGCGAGGCGGAGCAAAUCCCAAAAAAGGCGUCUCAGUUCGGAUUGGAGUCUGCAACUCGACUCCAUGAAGCUGGAAUCGCUAGUAAUCGCGGAUCAGCACGCCGCGGUGAAUACGUUCCCGGGCCUUGUACACACCGCCCGU